rnacentral:rRNA from 1 species
GGAAAGAUGAAAAGAACUUUGAAAAGAGAGUUAAACAGUACGUGAAAUUGUUGAAAGGGAAACGAUUGAAGUCAGUCGUGCUGGCGCGAAAUCAACCCUCUCGUCGAGAGGACACAUGGCGUGGCGAGCCUCAAAACCGUCACGAAGCGUGAACUCUUGGCGAAAAGGAGCACUUUCGUGUCCGCUGGUUAACAUCAAUUUCGAACGUCAUAAAAAGGCUGGAGGGAUGUGGCUCCUUCGGGAGUGUUAUAACCUUUAGCGGAAUGUGGUGGUCGGGAUUGAGGAUUGCAACGAAUACCUUUAGGGCUGUUCCACCUGGCUUCUCUUUGGCAUCCUGGUGACGACAGCUUGCUGACGUUGUUAGGAAUCGCCUUUGAACAGGCUAGAGUGUGAGCAAAUUCGUUAAGGAUGUUAACGUAAUGGCUUGGAAAGAUGCGUCUUGAAACACGGACCA